rnacentral:rRNA from 1 species
AUCUGGGCGGCGGAAUUCAGGAUGGCUGGCGUGCUCUCGCGGUGCGUCGGUCGUUUGAUAUUUCCGUCGCCAACUCACGCAGACGUCGCGACCUGUUCGCGGUCGGUCCCUGCUCGGAGGAGCCGCGUUCGAGCUCGUUGUGUGCGCGUUUCGGCGUUGUCACACGGCGAAGGCGCGGAUCUCUGGCUGGCCGUCGGACAGUAUGCUUAACGGUGUCCGGUGUCGUCGUCCCGUACGCGCGGCAUCGGUACCGGUCAGCGACGAAUUCUUCGGGCCUCUUUCCGACCCGUCUUGAAACACGGACCAAGGAGUCUAACAUGCGCGCGAGUCGCGGGGUAUCGAGCGUACUUCGGUGCGUUCGUUAUGUUGCGAAACCCGUACAUGUCGAAGGCGUAAUGAAAGUGAAUGGGGAAGAUGGUGUUCCGAGUUCACGUUCCGCGAUCAUCGGUAUCGCGGCCGGACGCCCGCAUUCCCGGGGCGUCUCAACGGCCCGUCGCUGAUGCGGACAGUCGUCUCUCGGGGCGGCUGUCGGUCGGCGACGAACCGA